GUCCCUCUUGACGAUGACCUAAGAUCCAAUCAUCACGUCCCUGCCUACUUCGCUCGGCUCGGCGCUAAACUUGCACUCCAUGUAUUUUGUCUUAGAUCUGCUUAUUUUGAAACCUUUAGAUUCGAGAGUCUGUCUCCAUACCUCUAACCUCUCAAUAACACUGACCCUUGUCUCAUCUAUCAAGACUAUGUCAUCAGCAAAUAG
rnacentral:lncRNA from 1 species